GAUGAACGCUGGCGGCGUGCUUAACACAUGCAAGUCGAACGAACCUUCGGGUUAGUGGCGGACGGGUGAGUAACGCGUGAGAAUCUGCCCUCAGGAGGGGGACAACAGCUGGAAACGGCUGCUAAUACCCCAUAUGCCGCGAGGUGAAAUGAAUUUCGCCUGAGGAUGAGCUCGCGUCUGAUUAGCUAGUUGGUGUAGGUAAUGGCUCACCAAGGCAUCGAUCAGUAGCUGGUCUGAGAGGAUGAUCAGCCACACUGGGACUGAGACACGGCCCAGACUCCUACGGGAGGCAGCAGUGGGGAAUUUUCCGCAAUGGGCGAAAGCCUGACGGAGCAACGCCGCGUGAGGGAUGAAGGCCUCUGGGCUGUAAACCUCUUUUAUCAAGGAAGAAGAUCUGACGGUACUUGAAGGAUAAGCCCCGGCUAAUUCCGUG
rnacentral:rRNA from 1 species